rnacentral:rRNA from 1 species
CCUACGGGGGCAGCAGUGGGGAAUUUUGGACAAUGGGCGCAAGCCUGAUCCAGCCAUGCCGCGUGUGGGAAGAAGGCCUUCGGGUUGUAAACCACUUUUGUCAGGGAAGAAACGGUCUGAACUAAUACUUUGGACUAAUGACGGUACCUGAAGAAUAAGCACCGGCUAACUACGUGCCAGCAGCCGCGGUAAUACGUAGGGUGCAAGCGUUAAUCGGAAUUACUGGGCGUAAAGCGUGCGCAGGCGGCUUUGCAAGACAGAUGUGAAAUCCCCGGGCUCAACCUGGGAACUGCAUUUGUGACUGCAUGGCUAGAGUACGGUAGAGGGGGGAUGGAAUUCCGCGUGUAGCAGUGAAAUGCGUAGAUAUGCGGAGGAACACCGAUGGCGAAGGCAAUCCCCUGGACCUGUACUGACGCUCAUGCACGAAAGCGUGGGGAGCAAACAGGAUUAGAUACCCUGGUAGUCCACGCCCUAAACGAUGUCAACUGGUUGUUGGGAGGGUUUCUUCUCAGUAACGAAGCUAACGCGUGAAGUUGACCGCCUGGGGAGUACGGCCGCAAAGGUUGAAACUUCAAAUUGAAUUGACGG